rnacentral:rRNA from 1 species
AUCGAACGCUGGCGGCAGGCUUAACACAUGCAAGUCGAGCGAGCGGCGGACGGGUGAGUAAUGUCUGGGAAACUGCCUGAUGGAGGGGGAUAACUACUGGAAACGGUAGCUAAUACCGCAUACCAUCAGAUGUGCCCAGAUGGGAUUAGCUAGUAGGUGGGGUAUUGGCUCACCUAGGCGACGAUCCCUAGCUGGUCUGAGAGGAUGACCGGCAACACGGGAACUGAGACACGGUCCAGACUCCUACGGGAGGCAGCAGUGGGAAAUGUUGCACAAUGGGGGCAAGCCUGAUGCAGCAAUGCCGCGUGUGUGAAGAAGGCUUUCGGGUUGUAAAGCACUUUCAGCGAGGAGGCGUUACUCGCAGAGAAAGCACCGGCUAACUCCGUGCCAGCAGCCGCGGUAAUUC